AGGCGGUCUCCACGGCGGCGAUAGAUUGUGAACCCGGUCAGAUCCGGAAGGAAGCAGCCGCAGCAAUCAAAUCGGGUGUCGUGGUCGGGCUGGCUGUA
rnacentral:SRP_RNA from 1 species